AACAGGAGUGGUUACAGAGGCAGCAUAAGGGUGAUAACGGUCCUUACCGCGUUCCUUCUUUACUGGCACACCACUUGAGUCAACCUCUUUUUUUUGCAGGCCACCGCCAGAGGGUUCCUUUGCUACAGAGUCAGAGGGAUUUGUCACUUCGGAUGAUGGAGCUUUUCCUUGAACUUUCUCCACCACCAGCCACUUCUCAAUCUUUUCCAAUCUCUCAGCCAUGGCUUUCUGCCCCAAGGCAAGCCCUUGCACAACAAUG
rnacentral:lncRNA from 1 species